rnacentral:rRNA from 1 species
UACGUAGGGUGCAGGCGUUAAUCGGAAUUACUGGGCGUAAAGCGUGCGUAGGUGGUUCGUUAAGUCUGAUGUGAAAGCCCCGGGCUCAACCUGGGAACUGCAUUGGAUACUGGCGAUCUGGAGUGCGGUAGAGGGUGGCGGAAUUCCCGGUGUAGCAGUGAAAUGCGUAGAUAUCGGGAGGAACAUCCGUGGCGAAGGCGGCCACCUGGACCAGCACUGACACUGAGGCACGAAAGCGUGGGGAGCAAACAGG